GAUUGAUGCCAGGAGCUUUCAGUGAGCAAAUAUCUUGUUUCGCACAAAUAUCAGUUACGAGGCUUUGCAGAACCACGAUACGCGGUUUUGUACUUUAAACGACGUUAUGGUAUCAACGGCAUACUGUUGCAAGGCAUACAAUUUCCUCACUACUGCGCUCAAGCUAUGUUGGACUGCAAGUCUCCUUGCUAAAUGUUAUUCUUAGAUAAUAAGAAAUUUUCAUUCUGAUCAUAUUUUUUUGCAUUGCUUGUGUGUUUACAAAGCUUUAUAACCAUAGCUUCACUUAAUACUUGGUUACGUGCAGUUACAUAUUUAGAGGCCAUUCAAUUAUUUACAUCAAAUAUUUUUCUACUCAGAACAAAUUGGUUUAAGACGUUUUUUGCUAAAAUAAAUAUAUUUAUGUAAAUAUUA